rnacentral:sRNA from 1 species
UUCUCACUACAUCCUCGCGACUAAUGACAAUCCUUAUUUCUCUCAGCGGAAAUAAAGCCUCUCAUUAGCCGCGCGAACCUCUGUAACGGAAGAUCACGUGAUAAUAAUUUCUAUAAAAACAACAACACUACAGUAACCUGAUUUGCGGUUGCUUCCUAGAAUAAAGGGGCCAAUUGGCCCCUUU